GAUGAACGCUGGCGGCGUGCCUAAUACAUGCAAGUCGAGCGAACAGACGAGGAGCUUGCUCCUCUGACGUUAGCGGCGGACGGGUGAGUACCACGUGGAUAACCUACCUAUAAGACUGGGAUAACUUCGGGAAACCGGAGCUAAUACCGGAUAAUAUAUUGAACCGCAUGGUUCAAUAGUGAAAGACGGUUUUGCUGUCCCUUAUACAUGGAUCCGCGCCGCAUUAGCUAGUUGGUAAGGUAACGGCUUACCAAGGCAACGAUGCGUAGCCGACCUGAGAGGGUGAUCGGCCACACUGGAACUGAGACACGGUCCAGACUCCUACGGGAGGCAGCAGUAGGGAAUCUUCCGCAAUGGGCGAAAGCCUGACGGAGCAACGCCGCGUGAGUGAUGAAGGUCUUCGGAUCGUAAAACUCUGUUAUUAGGGAAGAACAAAUGUGUAAGUAACUAUGCACGUCUUGACGGUACCUAAUCAGAAAGCCACGGCUAACUACGUG
rnacentral:rRNA from 1 species